rnacentral:tRNA from 1 species
GCUCGAGUGACGGAACAGGAAGACGACGCCGACUCAGAACCGGCGGCCUACGUGGCGUGAGGGUUCGAAUCCCUCCUCGAGCACCA